UCCCUUCUCCUUUUGGUACAUCCCACUUCCUCUUUCUGUCCUGCCCAGACUACUCUUCUGUAAAGCUUCACGGCUUUAUGCUCCUUACACAAGUUUGAUACCACACAUUUUGGUUUCCAACACACAGCAAUCACAGCAGCAGAACAUAGGACAGCCAAGAGAUCCAUGCCGGGAAGGCCCAAACGUCAGCGGUGGAAGCCAGAAAGUCCAUGCCAGUGGGUGAAGAAGCUUUGCUGGUGGAAUGAGGGUUCUAAGCUGGAGUCAAAAAGCCACACUCAUAACAAAGACCAGGGCUGUCCUGAAAAGCACCACAGCCAUCCUCAGCGACACAGAGGCCCCGAGCUCUUCUGACGACAAGCACAGUUAAGUACAUGCCAGAAAGCCAGCAUGAUGAGUUCAUCCUGGAGAUCAAGUGGCACACGUCUUCCUCUCCAGAGCCAGGAAGCAAUGCCGAUGUGAGGACCAGAGCUCCUCCAGGAGAACCAACAGCUCAGACAGCAACUCGUAGGAGAACCGACAGUGCCUCAAUGCAACAGCUUCUCCUUCUCCAUGUCUCUAUGCUGGCAACUUUCCUCAGGUGAACAUCUAGGCUCAGCACCAUGCUGAUGUAAUCCAGCCAGCGUUAAAUUGACCACCAGUUCUCAAUCCAUAACACCAGGUUUUCUACUAGUAAAACCAGAGCGAACCCUGGAAGUAAACUGUUUUACUUUUUCUUUUUUUUUCUCUUUCUCUUUGAUGGUUUUUGUAUGAAUGUGAAAGUGAUUCCUAACCUCUUGGUGAGUGUGGUUCUUUUCUGUUCUUCCUUUUAUCUCUUCCAUCUCUCUUUUCCUUCAGUCUUCUGCACCAGUUUCCCAAAGUUGGCAUGAUCUCCCUUUGUCCUCCAACCUUGCUUCUAAUCUCUUCUUCUUCUUCUUCUUCUUCUUCUUCUUCUUCUUCUUCUUCUUCUUCUUCUUCUUCUCUUUUCUUCUUCUUCUUUUUCUUCUUUUUCUUCUUUUUCUUCUUUUUCUUCUUUUUCUUCUUCUUCUUUUUCUUCUUCUUUUUCUUCUUUUUCUUCUUUUUCUUCUUCUUCUUCUUCUUCUUCUUCUUCUUCUUCUUCCUCUUCCUCUUCCUCUUCCUCUUCUUUUACUUCUCUAUUUUCUCCUUAAUCCAUUUUAAAUGUUAACUCCAUAGGGCAAAAUUGACACAUUAAGGACUUAUACAUUGCAUAUAAUUUUGUGAUUUGUUUUACAUUUUGUUAUAUAAUCACAAAUCUAGUUUAUAUAGUUAAAAGUGGCAAAUUAAGGUUUAGGUCACUUUCUCAUUUUCUAGGUACCACUAGGUGCUAUUGGUACCACUAUAGCCAAAAUUGACAUAAUUCUUCUAACAAUGACUGCUCCUGGUAUUCCAUGACUGAGACUGACUAAGGGUCAUAGAAAAUACUGUGGUACAGUGCCAAAAAAAAAAACCAGUGACUAGGCCAAGCAAGCUACAACUUCUCAUCUCCAACAAACUGAGAAGCUAAAACAUUCCAGUAGACUCAAAACCCAAAACCAGCUAUACCUCGAAUAUAUCUCAAAGAAGUAGUGAUCAGACAACAGUCCUAAACACUAGCAAUAAAGCAACCUAUCAUAGCAACAUACUAACAUCACCCCAGGAAUUAAACUGAAAGAAGAAAAGAAAAUGAGAAGACACUUAAGCAAAAUGCAGCCCAACAUCCAGUUCACCAAAGGCAAAUCUAGGGGGCAAUGAGGUGGGACAAUCUGAAAGCCGCCAACAGGCAGUUGGAGUGGUAAACACAAAGCAAUUGAAUGAGGCUCUGGAAAAAAAUAAAUCAGAAAUAAUCUCUCAGAUAAUUAUAGAGAUUGCCAAACUACACACCAUGCUUAGUGACGUUAGAGCAAACAGACAAAAACAAUAAAUGAGCUUAAGAAAAUUAUCAACAUAGGAAAGAAAUGGAAUCCACAAAGCAGAUACCCAAGAGAAUAAAAUCUCCACUGUAAGUAUUUGAAGCAAAUUAGGCCACUGUGAGGACAGGAUCUCAGGUAGGGAAGACAGGCUUGUAGUUAGCAACCAGGAAAAGAAAGGUGUGUGUGUGUGUGUGUGUGUGUGUGUGUGUGUGUGUCUUUUUGAUACAGGGUCUCAUUAUGCAGUUAGGUUGGGCUUGGGCUCACUUUAUAGCCCAGGCUGGUCUUAAACUUGCAACAGUCUUCCUGACUCAGCCUUCCAAGUUCUGGGAAUACAGGAGUGUGCCACUAUGCCCGGAUUAAGAAAGAUUUCUCAAAAAUAGAAAGGGACUAUGAGAAAUCGAUCCAGCAGCUGCUAGACAAGACAAGAAUAAUUUAAGAUUGAUUGGAGUCAAUGAAAAAGCAGGAGAUACAAUAAAUGACAUUAAAAAGUU